UCAGCUGUUGACAAGAACAUAAAUAUUACUAUUCGUGGUUUUUUUAUUUGAUACAUAUAACAUAAAAUAUCAGCUGACAGUUGACUCUCCUUUUCUUUGCCUAUUGAGUCUCGAGUUAUUACAUAGGUCGGUGAUGUAAUCGGAGACCUUAUAAACAACUUCUUUUUGAUUCACAAAACCUAUGUAUCCUAGUAGGCAUGACUUACUUACACAGCAGUCAGCAAAAGGAUGGAAGUAAGAGAAGAGAGGAGUUGUAACUGCGCGGACAGAAAUUUCAUUCAUGGGCAUUUAAAUGGAUCUCUCCUAUGGAGUAAUCUGAUAUAUGGAUCCGCAUCUAUCCAACCAUCACCUUCCUAGGAAUAUCCCAUUCACACGCCUUCUGAUACUCUCUUCAAAUGUCAUGGCACUUGAACAAGUGCUUCACUCUGUGGGUUUCAUCUUAUGGAAGGAUCUUUCAUUGUGGAGGAGCCUCUUCAUAUCAAGAUCUUCUACCGAAUCAUCUUAUACUUCUACAUAUAAGAACUAAAGAGCUCCAUAAAACCAAAGAAUAAUUCACUGAAAGACCCAGUGAGGAACAGAGAGAGAAAGUGAGAGUUCUCAACCUCCAUCCACUGCUUCUUCUUUGAAAGGGAACUCUGCUUCGUUUCAUUAAUAAGAGUCCUUCUGUGUUCUUUAUGUAUUUAACGGAGAAAUCACUCAUUUCAAUCAAAUUUAUAUCAAUUUCAUUUAUAAGUUGGACUUUGUGAUAUACGGAUAAUGAUAUAAACUGGACACUUCAAGCUCACGCCUGAUUUCUUUAUUACUAUAGAGUCUCUUUUGUCAUUGAAUACAAGUGGAAGAUGAUUUUAGGGUCGUAAAGAUAAUGUGAUUCCCUUUUCUCGAUAUUUUGGUCUGCAGAGCAUAUUCUAUUCUGAUAUUACACAUAAAUAGUUUAUUGUAACUGAGUAAUUCCACACCAAGAAAUAAUUCCAAGAUGAAAUACCCAGUGAGGAAGAAAGUGCUAUCAUUUUUCAUCCGCAUCUUCUUCGUUGAAACUCUUGAAGCCUUUUCCUUCCAAAGUCGACUUUUUUUCGUCUCCUAUUCUGAGACAAAUAUUUCAUUGUUAACAAUCAUUCAGUGUUCUUGAUGUAUAUAACGCAGAAAUCACUCAUCUCUAUUGUGUCGUACAUUUAUAAGUUUGUAUUGUACGAACAAUUCUGCACACUAAGCCUCUCCUCCUCUACUUUUUCCCUUGGAAAAAAGGGAAAGACAAUCUUAGACUAUAAAUGAAUAUGCAGGCUUUUCUCUCGAUACUUUUGUCUCCAAUACAUAUUAUAUUUUGCUGCUAUAUGCAUAAACAUAUUUUGUGAAUUGUUUAGUGCUAAGUGAUUAUAUGAUAACUAAUUAUAAGUGACAUCUUAACUUCUGUAGGCUUCUAUUGGAUAACUUUAUAUAUAAUUACAAUUUUAAAACAUAGUUUGUCUUAAUCAUCUUCUAAAAAAUUUAAUAAAUAAUAAAUGUGUCACAUAACAGUUCUUAUAUUAAAUUAUUAGUUAUUUUAAGAAUAGUCAUUAAUGACAAAAUAAAGAAGUUGAAAUUUAAAAAGGAACUAUAUAUAUUUUAUACUGUUUUUUUUUCUCGAUAUUUACCUAUAUAUAUAUUAUGAAAAUGUAUUAUCAUUUUAAGAUUUGAAUACAACACUUUUUGAUAACAUUGUCACUUCAUUCUCUUUAAAAUUUAUAUUUCUACUUGAAAUUGACGAUCUUAAUCAUAUUCAAACCUGAAAAAUAUAGCAAAUACUAGUUUACAUUACAUCAUUGCAAAAAUUAAUACUAACCUCGUAACUAAACUUGAUGUUGAACUUCUUGUAGUUGAUGGAGUUUUAAGUAAUAGAUUAGGAAAAUUAUCUCAAAAAUAGAAGGAGCAGUUCCAACUUUAAGAACUCGAGGAAUUCAAUAAGUUAUUUUCAAUUUCCUGUAGAGGUUUGAAUCUGUUGUUUUGACUUUGAAGUCUUCUUUUUUAAAAUAUAUGUAUUUGGAACACUUGGAUCAGUACUUACAAAUUAAAUGUUGUUUUUAUUUUCACAUUCAUGCUUAUUAUUUGAAUUUCAUUUAAUAUAUUUAAGUUUCUAGUAUAAAUUCAUUUCCUUAUUUGUUAAAAAUAUAUACGUAAUAAAAA
rnacentral:lncRNA from 1 species